rnacentral:rRNA from 1 species
GGGGGGGGGGGGGGGGGGGGUGGGGGGGGGGGGGGGGGGGGGGGGGGCCGGGCUUGUGGGGGGUGCUCGAGUGGCGGACGGGUGGGUGGCGCGGGGGUCACCUGCGCUUGGCUGUGGGGUGACUUCAGGAGAGUGGGGCUACUCCAGGGUCGGUGCUCCGUCUGGCUUGUUGGGUUUGGAAAGUUUCGGCGGGUGGGGCGGGACUCGCGGCGUAUCAGGUUGUUGGUGGGGUCGUGUCCUCCCACGGCUGUGACGGGUAGCCGGCCUGAGAGGGUGAGCGGCCACAUUGGGACUGAGAUACGGCCCAGACUCCUACGGGAGGCAGCAGUGGGGAAUAUUGCACAAUGGGCGGAAGCCGGAUGCAGCAACGCCGCGUGCGGGAUGACGGCCUUCGGGUUGUAAACCGCUUUCGCCUGUGACGAAGCGUGAGUGACGGUAAUGGGUAAAGAAGCACCGGCUAACUACGUG